rnacentral:tRNA from 1 species
GGUGCUUUGGCCGAGCGGUUAGGCAGUGGUCUGCAACACCAUCUACAGCGGUUCGAAUCCGCUAGGCACCUCAA